GUAAGAAAAUCUGAUUCUGCUUCACAGAAGGGCAACAGUUUGGUUUUGCCAACACUUACUUUCUCGCCUGAAAAAACUGUUUCAUCAGAAUCACAAAGCAUCAGUGACCAGACCAAACAGAACGCAUUACCUAGUAAGUCAUCACUUAACGUUAAUCAACCGGGCUGCAGUAACAGCAAGAAAGAGGGCAACAAGAAAUUUCUUAAUAUUUCUCAGUCAAGCUUCAACAACAGUAGCAAGGAAGAAUUAAAUAGCAGCAGAUCAUCUUUCAAUGUUUCCAAGUCCAGCACUAAUAAAAA